GGCUGGUCCAAAGGUAGUGAGUUAUCGAAAUUGGUCUUUCAGUCAGUUAACGAUUGCACUCCUGUUGUAUACUCCCCUCUCUCCUUCUCACUAUUGCACUUGACUACAGAUAGA
ensembl:misc_RNA predicted gene, 22016